rnacentral:rRNA from 1 species
UCAAGUGAAGAAGGGCGCACGGUGAAUGCCUUGGCACUGGAAGCCGAUGAAGGACGCGACUAACCGCGAAAGUCUUCGGGGAGCCGUAAGUAGGCUUUGAUCCGGAGGUCUCCGAAUGGGGGAACCCAGCAUGUGCAGACAUGCUAUCCUUAAGUGAAUACAUAGCUUAAGGAAGGAACACGCAGCGAACUGAAACAUCUAAGUAGCUGCAGGAAGAGAAAGAAAUAUCGAUUUCCCAAGUAGCGGCGAGCGAACAGGAAAGAGCCCAAACCGGCAGAUUUAUCUGCCGGGGUUGUAGGACUGAGACAUGGCACUUCAGAGGAUAGCAGAAGCGUUUGGGAAAACGCGCCAGAGAGGGUGAGAGCCCCGUAAGCGAAAUCCAAAGAAGGCCUAUCAGUAUCCUGAGUAGGGCGGGACACGUGAAAUCCCGUUUGAAUCCGCGAGGACCAUCUCGCAAGGCUAAAUACUAACCAGUGACCGAUAGUGAACCAGUACCGUGAGGGAAAGGUGAAAAGAACCCCGGGAGGGGAGUGAAAGAGAACCUGAAACCGUGUGCCUACAAGUAGUCAGAGCCCGUUAACGGGUGAUGGCGUGCCUUUUGUAGAAUGAACCGGCGAGUUGCGUUAGUCAGCAAGGUUAAGUCAGAAAAGACGGAGCCGCAGCGAAAGCGAGUCUGAAGAGGGCGAGCAGUUGGCUGACACAGACCCGAAACCAAGUGACCUACCCAUGACCAGGUUGAAGGCGCGGUAAAACGCGCUGGAGGACCGAACCCACGUAAGUUGAAAAUUGCGGGGAUGAGUUGUGGGUAGCGGUGAAAUUCCAAACGAACUUGGAGAUAGCUGGUUCUCUCCGAAAUAGCUUUAGGGCUAGCCUCGCAAAGAGGAUGCUGGAGGUAGAGCUCUGUUUGGACUAGGGGCCCGUCAAGGGUUACUGAAUUCAGAUAAACUACGAAUUCCAGACAUUUAUGUGCGGGAGUCAGACUGCGAGUGAUAAGAUCCGUAGUCGAAAGGGAAACAGCCCAGAUCACCAGUUAAGGUCCCAAAAUUCAUGCUAAGUGGAAAAGGAUGUGGAGUUGCGCAGACAACUAGGACGUUGGCUCAGAAGCAGCCAUCAUUCAAAGAGUGCGUAAUAGCUCACUAGUCGAGUGACGCCGCGCCGAAAAUUUACCGGGGCUAAGCAUGAUACCGAAACUGUGGAUGUGCAUUUAUGCACGUGGUAGGAGAGCGUUCUAGCGGCGGUGAAGCAUGACCGAGAGGACAUGUGGAGCUUCUAGAAGUGAGAAUGCCGGUAUGAGUAACGAAAGACAGGUGAGAAUCCUGUCCGCCGCAAGACUAAGGUUUCCUGGGGCAGGCUCGUCCGCCCAGGGUAAGUCGGGACCUAAGGCGAGGCCGAGAGGCGUAGUCGAUGGACAACAGGUUGAAAUUCCUGUACUGCACCGAAUCGUUAUGAGCGAUGGAGGGACGCAGGAGGCUAGCAGCGCGUGGUGCUGGAUACCACGUUCAAGCGUCAAGUCUGAGAGCGAGUCAAAUGCUUGCUCUCAUAAGGACAAGGCGUGAUGAGGAGCGAAAUUAAAGUAGCGAAGGCUGCGACGUCACACUGCCGAGAAAAGCUUCUAGCCAGAAACGGUGCACCCGUACCGCAAACCGACACAGGUAGUCGAGGAGAGUAUCCUCAGGUGAGCGAGAGAACUCUCGUUAAGGAACUCGGCAAAAUGGCCCCGUAACUUCGGGAGAAGGGGCGCUGGUCGCAAGAUCAGCCGCAGUGAAAAGGCCCAAGCAACUGUUUAUCAAAAACACAGGCAUCUGCAAAAUCGUAAGAUGAAGUAUAGGUGCUGACACCUGCCCGGUGCUGGAAGGUUAAGAGGAGAGCUUAGCGCAAGCGAAGGUUUGAAUUGAAGCCCCAGUAAACGGCGGCCGUAACUAUAACGGUCCUAAGGUAGCGAAAUUCCUUGUCGGGUAAGUUCC